AUGCCUACGGGGGGCAGCAGUGGGGAAUUUUGGACAAUGGGCGCAAGCCUGAUCCAGCUAUUCCGCGUGUGGGAUGAAGGCCCUCGGGUUGUAAACCACUUUUGUAGAGAACGAAAAGACACCUUCGAAUAAAGAGUGUUGCUGACGGUACUCUAAGAAUAAGCACCGGCUAACUACGUGCCAGCAGCCGCGGUAAUACGUAGGGUGCGAGCGUUAAUCGGAAUUACUGGGCGUAAAGGGUGUGCAGGCGGGAGCUCAAGUC
rnacentral:rRNA from 1 species